UGAGUGACCAUUUAGUCCAACCUGAGGACUGU
rnacentral:piRNA from 1 species